rnacentral:rRNA from 1 species
CCUACGGGAGGCAGCAGUGAGGAAUAUUGGUCAAUGGGCGGGAGCCUGAACCAGCCAAGCCGCGUGCGGGAAGAAGGUACAGCGUAUCGUAAACCUCUUUUGUCAGGGAACAAAGGCGGGGACUAGUCCCCGGAUGAGGGUACCUGACGAAAAAGCAUCGGCUAACUCCGUGCCAGCAGCCGCGGUAAUACUGAGGAUGCGAGCGUUAUCCGGAUUUAUUGGGUUUAAAGGGUGCGCAGGCGGCCUGUUAAGUCAGCGGGAAAAGCCCGGGGCUCAACCCCGGCGAGCCGUUGAAACUGGCGGGCUGGAGUUGGAGAGAAGUACGCGGAAUGCGCGGUGUAGCGGUGAAAUGCUUAGAUAUCGCGCAGAACCCCGAUUGCGAAGGCAGCGUACCGGCUCCACACUGACGCUGAGGCACGAAAGCGUGGGUAUCGAACAGGAUUAGAUACCCCAGUAGUC